rnacentral:rRNA from 1 species
GAGUUUGAUCUUGGCUCAGGAUGAACGCUAGCGGCAGGCUUAAUACAUGCAAGUCGAGGGGCAGCAUGGUGUAGCAAUACACUGAUGGCGACCGGCAAACGGGUGCGGAACACGUACAGAACCUUCCUUCGAGCGGGGAAUAGCCCAGAGAAAUUUGGAUUAAUACCCCAUAGGAUAUUGGAGUGGCAUCACUUUGAUAUUAAAGAUUUAUCACUCGAAGAUGGCUGUGCGUCUGAUUAGGUAGUUGGUGAGGUAACGGCUCACCAAGCCAACGAUCAGUAACUGGUGUGAGAGCACGACCAGUCACACGGGCACUGAGACACGGGCCCGACUCCUACGGGAGGCAGCAGUAAGGAAUAUUGGUCAAUGGACGCAAGUCUGAACCAGCCAUGCCGCGUGAAGGAUGAAGGUCCUCUGGAUUGUAAACUUCUUUUAUAUGGGAAGAAAUCCUUGAAUUCUUUCGAGGUUGACGGUACCAUAGGAAUAAGCACCGGCUAACUCCGUGCC